rnacentral:lncRNA from 1 species
ACACAUGAAUCAAAAUUUAUUAGAAUACUCUAUGUGCUUCACUUAUAUCUUUUGAGCUAGAUAAUUUUGCUCUAGUGCUUCACUUAUAUCUUUUAGAGCACGGUGGUGGUUUUAUUUUGUAGAAAUUAUUGAUCUCUCAUGCUUCACUUAUAUUACUUUGAGAGUCCUUUAUAAAAGCAUGGUAAUUUGCUUUGGCUAUAAAAUUGGUCCUAAUAUGAUAGGCAUCCAAGAUUGGUAUAAUAAAAAACUUUCAUAAAGAGGUGCAUUGAAUACUAUGAGAAGUUUGAUACUUGAUAAUUGUUUUGAGAUAUAAAUAUGGUGAUAUUAGAGUUGUGCUAGUUGAGUAGUUGUGAAUUUGAGAAAUACUUGUGUUGAAGAUUGCAAGUCCCGUAGCAUGCACGUAUGGUAACCGUUGUGUAACAAAUUUGAAACAUGAGGUGUUCUUUGAUUGUCUUCCUUAUGAGUGGCGGUCGGGGACGAACGAUGGUAUUUUCCUACCAAUUUAUCCCCCUAGGAGCAUGCGCUUAAUGCUUGGUUUUUGAUGACUUGUAGAUUUUUGCAAUAAGUAUGUGAGUUCUUUAUGAGUAAUGUUGAGUCCAUUGAUUAUAUGCACUCUCACCUUUCCAUCAUUGCUAGCCUCUUCGGUACCGUGCAUUGCCCUUUCUCACCUUGAGAGUUGGUGCAAACUUCGCCGGUGCAUCCAAACCCCGUGAUAUGAUACGCUCUAUCAAACAUAAACCUCCUUAUAUCUUCCUCAAAACAGCCACCAUACCUACCUAUUAUGGCAUUUUCAUAGCCAUCCUGAGAUAUAUUGCCAUGUAACUUUCCACCGUUUCAUUUAUGACACGCUUCAUCAUUGUAAUAUUGCCUUGCAUGAUCUUGUAGUUGACAUCGUAUUUUUGGCAAAGCCACUAUGCAUAAUUUAUCAUACAUGUCACUCUUGAUUCAUUGCCCCUCUCCCGGUACACCGCCGAAGGCAUUCAUAUAGAGUCAUAUUUUAUUCUAGUAUCGAUUUGUAAGAAUUGAGUUGUAAAUAAAUAGAAGUGUGAUGAUCAUCAUUAAUAGAGAAUUGUCCCCAAAAUAGGGGAAGGCCAAAAAAAGAAGGCCCAAAAAAAUAAAGAAAAAAGGAAAUAAAAAGGGACAAUGCUACUAUCCUGUUUUUGACACUUGUGCUUCAAAGUAGCACCAUGAUCUUUAUGAUAGAGAGUCUCUUGUUUUGUCACUUUCAUAUACUAGUGGGAAUUUUUCAUUAUAGAACUUGGCUUGUAUAUUCCAACAAUGGGCUUCCUCAAAUGCCCUAGGUCUUCGUGAGCAAGCAAGUUGGAUGCACACCCACUUAGUUGCUUUUGUUGAGCUUUCAUACAUUUAUAGCACCAGUGCAUCCGUUGCAUGGCAAUCCCUACUCCUUACAUUGACAUCAAUUGAUGGGCACCUCCCUAGCCCGUUGAUUAGCCGCACCGAUGUGAGACUUUCUCCUUUUUGUGUUCUCCACAUAACCCCCAUCAUUAUAUUCUAUUCCACCCAUAGUGCUAUAUCCAUGGCUCACACUCAUGUAUUGCGUGAAAAUUGAAAAAAGUUUGAGCGUAUUGAAGUAUGUAACAAUUGCUUGGCUUGUCAUCAGGGUUGUGCAUGAUGAUAGCAUUCUUGUGUGACGAAAAUGGAGCAUGACCAAACUAUAUGAUUUUGUAGGGAUGAACUUUCUUUGGCCAUGUUAUUUUGAGAAGACAUGAUUGCUUAGUUAGUAUGCUUGAAGUAUUACUAUUUUUAUGUCAAUAUUAAACUUUUGUCUUGAAUCUUUCGGAUCUGAAUAUUCAUGCCACAAUAAAGAAAAUUAUAUUGAGAAUUAUGCUAGGUAGCAUUCCACAUCAGAAAUUCUAUUUUUAUCAUUUACCUACUUGAGGACGAGCAGGAAUUAAGCUUGGGGAUGCUUGAUACGUCUCCAACGUAUCUAUAAUUUUUGAUUGUUCCAUGCUAUUAUAUUAUCUGUUUUGGAUGUUUAAUGGGAUUUAUUAUAAAAUUUUAUAUUCUUUUUGGCACUAACCUACUAACCCAAGGCCCAGUGCAAAUUGCUGUUUUUUUGCCUAUUUCCGUGUUUUACAGAAAAGGAAUAUCAAACAGAAUCCAAACGGAAUGAAACCUUCGGGAGAGUUGUUUUUGGAACAAACGUGAUCCAGGGGGCUUGGAGUAGACGUCAAGAAAGGAGGAGGAGGCCACGAGGCAGGGAGGCGCACCCCCACCCUCAUGAGCCCCUUGCAGCUCCACCAACCUACUUCUUCCUCCUAUAUAUAUCCAUAUACCCCAAAAACAUCCAGGAGCACCACAAAACCCUAUUUCCACCGCCGCAACCUUCUGUACCCAAGAGAUCGCAUCUAGGGGCCUUUUCCGGAGCUCCACCGGAGGGGGAAUCAAUCACGGAGGGCUUCUACAUCAACACCAUAGCCUCUACGAUGAUGCGUGAGUAGUUUACCACAGAGCUUCGUGUCCAUAGUUAUUAGCUAGAUGGCUUCUUCUCUUUCUUUGGAUCUCAAUACAAAUUACAAAGUUCUCCUCGAUCUUCCUGGAGAUCUAUUCAAUGCAAUUCUUUUUGCGGUGUGUUUGUCGAGAUCCGAUGAAUUGUGGGUUUAUGAUCAAAUUUAUCUAUGAACAAUAUUUGAAUCUUCUCUGAAUUCUUUUAUGUAUGAUUUGUUAUCUUUGCAAGUCUCUUUGAAUUAUCAGUUUGGUUUGGCCUACUAGAUUGAUCUUUCUUGCAAUGGGAGAAGUGCUUAGCUUUGGAUUCAAUCUUGCGGUGUCCUUUCCUAGUGACAGCAGGGGCAACAAGGCACGUAUUGUAUUGUUCCAUCGAGGAUAAAAAGAUGGGGUUUAUAUCAUAUUGCUUGAGUUUAUCUCUCUACAUCAUGUCAUCUUGCCUAAUGCAUUACUCUGUUCUUAUGAACUCAAUACUCUAGAUGCAUGCUGGAUAGCGGUCGAUGUGUGGAGUAAUAGUAGUAGAUGUAGAAUCGUUUUGGUCUACUUGUCGCGGACGUGAUGCCUACAUACAUGAUCAUGCCUAGAUAUUCUCAUAAUUAUGCACUUUUCUAUCAAUUGCUCGACAGUAAUUUGUUUACCCAUCGUAAUAUGUAUGCUAUCUUGAGAGAAGCCACUAGUGAAACCUAUGGCCCCCAGGUCUACUUUCCAUUAUAUAAGUUUCCAAUCUAUUUUACUUUGCAAUCUUUAUUUUCCAAUCUAUAUAAUAAAAAUACCAAAAAAAAUUAUCUUAUUAUCUCUAUCAGAUCUCACUCUCGUAAGUGACUGUGAAGGGAUUGACAACCCCUUUAUCGCGUUGGUUGCGAGGUUCUUAUUUGUUUGUGUAGGUGCGAGGUGACUUGCAUGUAGUCUCCUACUAUAUUGAUACCUUGGUUCUCAAAAACUAAGGGAAAUACUUACGCUACUUUGCUGCAUCACCCUUUCCUCUUCAAGGGAAAACCAAGAGGUAGUAAGCAGGAUUUCUGGCGCCGUUGCCGGGGAGAUCUACGCACAAGUCAAGAUAUACCAAGUACCCAUCACAAACUCUUAUCCCUCGCAUUACAUUAUUUGCCAUUUGCCUCUUGUUUUCCUCUCCCCCACUUCACCCUUGGCAUUUUAUUCGCCUCUUUUUCUGUUCGCUUAUUUUCGCUUGCCUCUUACUGACAUCAUGUCUGAAAUUGGGGAGGUUAUUGUUGAUAAGGAUAGUAAUAACAUGGAAAACUUGGAAGCUUUUGUUGAUCCUCAUGAAGAACAUACUAUUUUACAUACUAAAAAGUUUUGGAUUGGUAGUGGUAAUAUUAUUGGAAAAGGAGUUAUUCAAGAUUUAUUUACUUGUGUCGGUGCUUUUCCCACCAUGAGCGGACCUAUUCUUCAUAAAACUAGUAGUCUUGCAGAUGCUAUAUCAUUGCUUGUUGUUGAACUUGAAAGACAAUUUAUCCAUAUGCAUCCUUGCAUACAAAGGACCUUUCUAGAAUUUUCUAAUAUUGAGCAUUCUUCUGUUAAGUGAGCAGCUACCAUAUUUUUAGCUCAUGAGUUCAGAUUUAAAAUAAAAGAGGACAAUCAAAUUUUUGCGCAUUAUAAGGUGGAUGCCGGUCGUCCGCCCAUAGAAGCAAUCCUUUUUUAUCAAGAGGACAUAAUGCGCUUACGAUCUUUAGAUCUUGUUGCUUUUAAUGAAAACCUUAGAAAGAAGGUUCCUACCGAUAUUCUUGUUGACGAGAUCUCUGAACUAAAUGAUAAUUUUUCUAUACAAAACAAUGGGUUGGAUUUUCCCUUGAACAAAGGCUCAUGACUUUUUGCCAAAAGAAUGCUUAUAAUGGUGAAUUGGUUGUGCAACAUGAUGGGCCAAAGGAGGAAUCAAUACCUCCCGAGCUUGAUCUUGGGGACUUCUGUCCCAUUAAAUUUAGCCCUUUUGAUUACUUUUUCUUGCCACAAAGGAAACUUGCCGCUGAACGUAGGGAGUAUGAGAUGAGUUUUCGUGAUUUGCCUUAUCAUUAUCAUGGUAAUACCUAGAUCUAUUCUUGAGAUGCGCUUGUUGGGAGGCAACCCAAUUUUAUUUUUGUUUCUUGCUUUUUGGUUCUAUUUAGUAAUAAGUAAUCAUCUAGCCUCUGUUUGGAUGUGGUUUUAUGCUUUUGAUUAGUGUUCGUGCCAAGUAGAACCUUUGGGAAGACUUGCGGGAAGUUUUUGCGAUCUUGGUGUAAAAAAAUAGAAACUUUAGCGCUCACGAGAUUUGCUGCCAUUUUUUUACUAGAGAGUGCGAUUAGGUUGAUUCUUUUUGAAGAUGAUUAAUAGACAAAUUCCUCAUGUCCACCAAUUUAUUUCAGAACUUUUUGGGGUUACAGAAGUAUUCGAAACCUACAUAUUACUACAGACUAUUCUGUUUUUGAUAGAUUCUGUUUUUCGUGUGUUGUUUGGUUAUUUUGAUGAAUCUAUGGCUAGUAUUGGAGGGUAUGAACAAUAGAGAAGUUGGAAUAUAGUAGGUUUAACACCAAUAUAAAUAAAGAAUAUGUUCAUUACAGUACCUUAAGUGGUGAUUUGUUUUCUUAUACUAACGGAGCUCAUGAGAUUUUCUGUUGAGUUUUGUGUUUUGAAGUUUUCAAGUUUUGGGUAAAGAUUUGAUGGAUUAUGGAAUAAGGAUUGGAAAGAGACUAAGCUUGGGGAUGCCCAAGGCACCCCAAGGUAAAAUUCAAGGACAACCAAAAGCCUAAGCUUGGGGAUGCCCCGGAAGGCAUCCCCUCUUUCGUCUUCGUCCAUCGGUAACUUUACUUGAGGCUAUAUUUUUAUUCACCACAUGAUAUGUGUUUUGCUUGGAGCGUCUUGUAUGAUUUGAGUCUUUACUUUUUAGUUUACCACAAUCAUCCUUGCUGUACACACCUUUUGGGAGAGGCAUACAUGAAUCGGAAUUUAUUAGAAUAUUCUAUGUGCUUCACUUAUAUCUUUUGAGCUAGAUAAUUUUGCUCUAGUGCUUCACUUAUAUCUUUUAGAGCACGGUGGUGGUUUUAUUUUAUAGAAAUUAUUGAUCUCUCAUGCUUCACUUAUAUUAUUUUGAGAGUCCUUUAGAACAGCAUGGUAAUUUGCUUUGGCUAUAAAAUUGGUCCUAAUAUGAUAGGCAUCCAAGAUUGGUAUAAUAAAAACUUUCAUAAAGAGGUGCAUUGAAUACUAUGAGAAGUUUGAUACUUGAUAAUUAUUUUGAGAUAUAAAGAUGGUG